AGAUGGGACAUUGAUGUCCAGAGAGAAGUGCAUAAUUUAUGCCAGGUCACAGAAACUGGCACAGUGGUCAGACUAUGAUCCCAGGGAGCCUGCUCACAGAGGAGUUCAGCCUGAGUCAUCUCUGCCGUCAAAUGCACCUCUCUGUCCCGGGCAGAUAAACUCAUCACUCUGGAAGGCAGGCAGGCAAGGAGGCCUGGGGGGCUGUGGAGGCGGGCAUGGGGAGGGAAUGAGUGCCCGAGUCUUGUCCCAUGCCUGGUCCCCAGUGGCUGGCAGGGUGGAGGUCUUGCCAGGAGGGCUUCCUUCCUCUCUUCCAUCUUCACAGGUGAGGGGCUCCCAUUCCCACUGGAAGAGUGGUGGGUAGGUGCAGAUGACAAAGGGUGAACUGUGUCUCCAGACAGGGAGACAGAGGC
ensembl:lncRNA